UACGAAGGGGGCUAGCGUUGCUCGGAAUUACUGGGCGUAAAGGGCGCGUAGGCGGAUCGUUAAGUCAGAGGUGAAAUCCCGGAGCUCAACUUCGGAAUUGCCUUUGAUACUGGCGAUCUUGAGUGUGAGAGAGGUAUGUGGAACUCCGAGUGUAGAGGUGAAAUUCGUAGAUAUUCGGAAGAACACCAGUGGCGAAGGCGACAUACUGGCUCAUUACUGACGCUGAGGCGCGAAAGCGUGGGGAGCAAACAGG
rnacentral:rRNA from 1 species